UAAUUUCCAUUGAUUAGCUACAGGCAAAAGUAUUUUCCCUUCUUUGAUGGCUAGCCAUCCUGAGGGGAGAAAACUAUGUCCUUGUGAGGUUCCCCAUUCUAUUUCUCCUGCUGAGUAUUGGGGCUGGUUUCCCAGAGGGGAUUACCCCAUAUUAGGGGUCCUUCUAUAAGCAUUUCUAAUGGAGGGUCCUGCCUUGUGGCUUUUUUGGCUUCAAUAUCCACUUGGCGGUUCCCUUCUAUUUCCCUUUCCUUUCCUUUCUGAUGACCCUGGCAGUGUAUGACUGCCACUUCUUUAGGUUUCUGUACAGCCAAUAAUAAUCUCCUAAUGUCUUCCUGAUGUUUCAUAGGCAUUCCUUCAGAAGUUAGGAAUUCCCUUUCUCUCCAUAUUGCUGUGUGGGCAUGGAGGACUAGGUACAAUCCCAUACUUAUACAUAUUGCAUGAGAUUCUCAGAUGUAUCAUGGAAUUUGUCAAGGAAGAAUUCUGUGCUUAAGCACCUAUACCGGUAUGAGCUCACCUGAAGGAGGCCACUAAUAUUUCUAAAUCAAACUAAUAAGGAUCUUCGUCUACAAGCCAUGCCUAAAAUAUUCACAGGAUUUUCUCUGAUCGUCCCACCAAGGUCUCCAAAAGGCAUUCUAAAAUUUAAAAUUCUGUUGCAUGUACAUUAUAAUAAAAUAAAGGUGAAGCAAUAAAGAAAUACUUCAAGUUUUUUCAGAACAAUGAAACGAAGAAAACAUAAAAAUAAAGAAUCGGCAUAUGAAUCUGGGUCAUCUCUCCAACCCAUAGGAUUUUGGGUUCCCUACACUGAUGGUAUCUUUUUAGGAUCUGGUGGCAAGAAUCAACAAAUACCCUAGAUGCCUUGGUGUGGCACAUAAUGUGCCAGAUGGUGGGAAGUAUUCCCCAUGAAAAUUUGAGCGCCUGCCACCAUGGUGAAGUUUCUAAGUUGUCAGUGGUCUAUGCCACAUUCACUCAUUCUCUACAAGGUGGAAGUUAAGUUUCUACACCUUACACGCCCCUGCCAUUGAGGAAAAGCCCCUUUAGAGUCUGCAGGCAACAUGCCUUCCCACCAUUCCUAAAGCCUGUACCUGUGAUCUCAUGGGAAGUUUUCUAUAACCAGCUCUAUGAGAAAGCAAAAAAUGUAAGGCUGGUUUACACAUUAAAAAUGGAUUUUCAAAGUAAGAGCUAUACAACUAUAACAUAACAACUCCACUCACUGGGGUCCUAGAAGACAGUAGGGGCAGAAACUUGAGCAGUGCACUUCAAUGGUAGUGGAGAUGACUAGACAUAUGGAUACAUACCCAACAAUGAAUGAUCUCAAUAGAUUUUCUGAAUAAUAAUAAACAUGAAAGGAAACUGACUUGAGGAUCAGUGACAAGGUAUUCAGAGGAAGAAGUAAAUGGGAAAUCAGCAAAAGACCUCUUGGGUCAUUACUUAGUGCAAAUAUAUUUGUAUCUCACAUAUACACUGCCUUGGCACAGGGCAUACACUGCAGAGGAGUCUCGAUAAUCACACAGACAAGGUGACCUGGUGGAUGUUGAAAGUCAGUCUGUCUUAAUGCUUUUUUGUUUUCAGAGGCAGGGUCUUGCUCUGUU